rnacentral:rRNA from 1 species
AACCCCGGGAGGGGAGUGAAAGAGAACCUGAAACCGUGUGCCUACAAGUAGUCAGAGCCCGUUAACGGGUAAUGGCGUGCCUUUUGUAGAAUGAACCGGCGAGUUGCGUUAGUCAGCAAGGUUAAGUCAGAAAAGACGGAGCCGUAGCGAAAGCGAGUCUGAAUAGGGCGAGCAGUUGGCUGACACAGACCCGAAACCAAGUGACCUACCCAUGACCAGGUUGAAGGCGCGGUAAAACGCGCUGGAGGACCGAACCCACGUAAGUUGAAAAUUGCGGGGAUGAGUUGUGGGUAGCGGUGAAAUUCCAAACGAACUUGGAGAUAGCUGGUUCUCUCCGAAAUAGCUUUAGGGCUAGCCUCGCAAAGAGGAUGCUGGAGGUAGAGCUCUGUUUGGACUAGGGGCCCGUCAAGGGUUACUGAAUUCAGAUAAACUGCGAAUUCCAGACAUUUAUGUGCGGGAGUCAGACUGCGAGUGAUAAGAUCCGUAGUCGAAAGGGAAACAGCCCAGAUCACCAGUUAAGGUCCCAAAAUUCAUGCUAAGUGGAAAAGGAUGUGGAGUUGCGCAGACAACUAGGACGUUGGCUCAGAAGCAGCCAUCAUUCAAAGAGUGCGUAAUAGCUCACUAGUCGAGUGACGCCGCGCCGAAAAUUUACCGGGGCUAAGCAUGAUACCGAAACUGUGGAUGUGCAUUUAUGCACGUGGUAGGAGAGCGUUCUAGCGGCGGUGAAGCAUGACCGAGAGGACAUGUGGAGCUUCUAGAAGUGAGAAUGCCGGUAUGAGUAACGAAAGACAGGUGAGAAUCCUGUCCGCCGCAAGACUAAGGUUUCCUGGGGCAGGCUCGUCCGCCCAGGGUAAGUCGGGACCUAAGGCGAGGCCGAGAGGCGUAGUCGAUGGACAACAGGUUGAAAUUCCUGUACUGCACCGAAUCGUUAUGAGCGAUGGAGGGACGCAGGAGGCUAGCAGCGCGUGGUGCUGGAUACCACGUUCAAGCGUCAAGUCUGAGAGCGAGUCAAAUGCUUGUUCUCAUAAGGACAAGGCGUGAUGAGGAGCGAAAUUAAAGUAGCGAAGGCUGCGACGUCACACUGCCGAGAAAAGCUUCUAGCCAGAGACGGUGCACCCGUACCGCAAACCGACACAGGUAGUCGAGGAGAGUAUCCUCAGGUGAGCGAGAGAACUCUCGUUAAGGAACUCGGCAAAAUGGCCCCGUAACUUCGGGAGAAGGGGCGCUGGUCGCAAGAUCAGCCGCAGUGAAAAGGCCCAAGCAACUGUUUAUCAAAAACACAGGCAUCUGCAAAAUCGUAAGAUGAAGUAUAGGUGCUGACACCUGCCCGGUGCUGGAAGGUUAAGAGGAGAGCUUAGCGCAAGCGAAGGUUUGAAUUGAAGCCCCAGUAAACGGCGGCCGUAACUAUAACGGUCCUAAGGUAGCGAAAUUCCUUGUCGGGUAAGUUCCGACCUGCACGAAAGGUGUAAUGAUUUGGGCACUGUCUCAACGAGAGACUCGGUGAAAUUAUAAUACCCGUGAAGAUGCGGGUUACCCGCGACAGGACGGAAAGACCCCAUGGAGCUUUACUGCAGUUUAAUAUUGGGUAUCUGUCAAGCAUGUACAGGAUAGGUAGGAGCCGGAGAAGAUAGGACGCCAGUCUUAUCUGAGGCGCUGUUGGGAUACUACCCUUGCUUGACGGAUGCUCUAACUCAGGCCUGUGAUCCAGGCCGAGGACAGUGUUUGACGGGCAGUUUGACUGGGGCGGUCGCCUCCUAAAGUGUAACGGAGGCGCCCAAAGGUUCCCUCAGAAUGGUUGGAAAUCAUUCGCAGAGUGUAAAGGUAAAAGGGAGCUUGACUGCGAGAGAGACAACUCGAGCAGGUACGAAAGUAGGGCUUAGUGAUCUGGUGGUACCGCAUGGAAGGGCCAUCACUCAACGGAUAAAAGCUACCCUGGGGAUAACAGGCUUAUCUCCCCCAAGAGUUCACAUCGACGGGGAGGUUUGGCACCUCGAUGUCGGCUCG